rnacentral:rRNA from 1 species
GACAGAGGGUGCAAACGUUGUUCGGAAUUACUGGGCGUAAAGCGCGUGUAGGCUGCUUUGCAAGUCGGAUGUGAAAGCCCCGGGCUCAACCUGGGAAGUGCACUCGAAACUGCAGAGCUCGAGUCCUGGAGAGGAAGGCGGAAUUCUCGGUGUAGAGGUGAAAUUCGUAGAUAUCGAGAGGAACACCGGUGGCGAAGGCGGCCUUCUGGACAGUGACUGACGCUGAGGCGCGAAAGCGUGGGGAGCAAACGGG